rnacentral:rRNA from 1 species
GAUGAACGCUAGCGGCAGGCUUAAUACAUGCAAGUCGAGGGGCAGCAUGACUGUAGCAAUACAGUUGAUGGCGACCGGCAAACGGGUGCGGAACACGUACAGAACCUUCCUUCGAGCGGGGAAUAGCCCAGAGAAAUUUGGAUUAAUACCCCAUAGUAUAUUAGAGUGGCAUCACUUUGAUAUUAAAGAUUUAUCACUUGAAGAUGGCUGUGCGGCUGAUUAGGUAGUUGGCGGGGUAACGGCCCACCAAGCCUUCGAUCAGUAACUGGUGUGAGAGCACGACCAGUCACACGGGCACUGAGACACGGGCCCGACUCCUACGGGAGGCAGCAGUAAGGAAUAUUGGUCAAUGGACGAAAGUCUGAACCAGCCAUGCCGCGUGGAGGAUGAGGGUCCUCUGGAUUGUAAACUUCUUUUAUAUGGGACGAAAAAAGGGUUUUCUAACUCGUCUGACGGUACCAUAUGAAUAAGCACCGGCUAACUCCGUGCCAGCAGCCG